GACGAACGCUGGCGGCGUGCUUAACACAUGCAAGUCGAACGAUGAACCCGGAGCUUGCUCCGGUGGAUUAGUGGCGAACGGGUGAGUAACACGUGAGUAACCUGCCCUUGACUCUGGGAUAACUGCGGGAAACUGUAGCUAAUACCGGAUACGACCCUCGGCGGCAUCGCCAGGGGGUGGAAAGAAUUUCGGUCAAGGAUGGACUCGCGGCCUAUCAGCUAGUUGGUGAGGAAUGGCUCACCAAGGCGACGAUCUUUAGCUGGUUUGAGAGGAUGAUCAGCCACACUGGAACUGAGACACGGUCCAGACUCCUACGGGAGGCAGCAGCAAGGAGUCUUCCACAAUGGGCGAAAGCCUGAUGGAGCAACGCCGCGUGCAGGAUGAAUGCCUUCGGGUUGUAAACUGCUUUUAUGUGCAAAGAAUAUGACGGUAACACAUGAAUAAGGAUCGGCUAACUCCGUGCCAGCCGCCGCGGUAA
rnacentral:rRNA from 1 species